rnacentral:rRNA from 1 species
UAAGGAAUAUUGGUCAAUGGACGCAAGUCUGAACCAGCCAUGCCGCGUGCAGGAAGACGGCCCUACGGGUUGUAAACUGCUUUUGUACCGGAAUAAACCUUUGGUCGUGACCGAAGCUGAAUGUACGGUAAGAAUAAGGAUCGGCUAACUCCGUGCCAGCAGCCGCGGUAAUACGGAGGAUCCAAGCGUUAUCCGGAUUUAUUGGGUUUAAAGGGUGCGUAGGCGGCCUAUUAAGUCAGGGGUGAAAGACGGUAGCUUAACUAUCGCAGUGCCUUUGAUACUGAUGGGCUUGAAUGUACUUGAGGUAGGCGGAAUGUGACAAGUAGCGGUGAAAUGCAUAGAUAUGUCACAGAACACCAAUUGCGAAGGCAGCUUACUAAAGUAUGAUUGACGCUGAGGC